CAGUAGCCACGGUAACACGGAGGGAGCUAGCGUUGUUCGGAAUUACUGGGCGUAAAGCGCACGUAGGCGGCUUUGUAAGUUAGAGGUGAAAGCCUGGGGCUCAACUCCAGAAUUGCCUUUAAGACUGCAUCGCUUGAACGUCGGAGAGGUGAGUGGAAUUCCGAGUGUAGAGGUGAAAUUCGUAGAUAUUCGGAAGAACACCAGUGGCGAAGGCGGCCCGCUGGACAUGUAUUGACGCUGAGGUGCGAAAGCGUGGGGAGCAAACAGGAUUAGAUACCCCAGUAGUCCCUGUCUCUUAUAC
rnacentral:rRNA from 1 species